UCCUCAGCAUCACAUUAAAAAAAUAAGUAAAUAAAAUAAAGAUAUUGUGUCCAUCUACAACUUAAAAAAUAUUUUUAAAAAAGUACAUAUUAGAAACUCAAAUUAAUGAAGACCUUAUUGCUACUGCAUGGAAGAGGUAAUAAUUCAGUUUUGUUUUAGUAAUAUGGACAGAACAUUGAUUCAGGUCAUAAAUGUAAAAUCAAAUUCUUUCAGAAUUCCUGUUCCUGAAUAAAUCAUGUUUAAUUUUGUGAGGAUCUUUGGGUUUGAGAGAAAUCAUUCACUGGCAUUUUUAAAAUAAGCUUUCUGCAGUCCUAAAAUGUCUAUUUGGUAAGAUGAAAAAAAAACAGUUGUAGGUCAAGCAAAACCGGUAACUCACAUUCAAAGUUUUAUAAAUGAGACUUUCCUCCCUAUUCUGUUUUGGCAUAACUUUCCAAAUAUGCUUAAAACACAGACUUCUAUUCGAAUUAGAGAGAAAUACAUGUUUCCUCAUUUUCUACCUUUAAAUGUGUUGACUUAAGAGAUGGUGAUGACUGGUAGCCUCACACUUAAAGGUUUUCUAAUUUAAUGCCAAAAGCAUGCAAGUAAUUUAACAUACCCAGUCUGUGGCAAUUUUUUCACAUUAUUUAUUAAGUAAGAAUGUGUCUUUAAUGCCCUUGUGUAAAUUUUUUAUAAAAUAGUGUUCACAGUGUUUAAAAUACCCUGAAAGAUUAUUAAAUUAUAUUCUGUUACUUUAUUAAAGGCAAUUUCCAAGAGAUGCUACACAGAUCUUAUCUCUUCAUUCAUUUCUAUUAAAAAACAAUUCUAGUGAUUUUACUUUCUCCAAUGCAAUAAACAGACCAAUGGACUGCUAAUAGUAUUAGCCAUGCAGGACACAUCUAAAGAUUGUAAUUUUUGGUUUUUUAGAACACAUACUAUGUUUCUUGUGGUUCAAGGUAAUCUUAAGGAAUAACUUGUAUUUUUAUAGGCAAGUAGUUUCAAAUAUGUGCAAUAUUAUGAAUGAAUAUAAAUAUUAUAAUGAAUAUCAGCUAUAACAAGUCCCUCUUUAAACAGAGUAAGAUGAGCUAAUCAGUAUUUCAUUAGAUGAAUAACCAAAAGAGAAGUACAUAUCAGCACAUCAUAUUAUGCAGAAGAAAUUUCAAGCAUAUUUCAGAGUUUAAACAUGCAUUAACAUGUUUAAAUAGUUCAUAUCUAUGGCAUAUACAGUGUUUUUUUAGGGAGUUGGGUAGAGAAUGAGCCCAGAGAUUUGAGCACAUCAAGACUUAUUCUACCACUGAGCUAUACUUCCAGGCCGCAUAAAAGUUUAAAUAAUUAAAAUUAGAAUUUAUAAUGGGUGAUAAAUAAUGAGAUUCCAGGAGUAUAUGCAACUGAAAACAUGGCAAUUGAAAUCUCAUAAAAACUAUCAUGUCUUGUUAGUUUUAUUAAAUUUGAGUUUUAUUCUUUUACAUUUCAUCAUCUCACAUAGAAACCACUUGAGUGAACUCUAUAUGAAAUGGCUGUUUUAUCAAAUUAUUACUUCUAGUUUACACAUAUUCAAUAAUAAUCAGUUAUAUGCAUUUAGAAUAAAUAUUAUUUCUAACAAAUGUCAUCAAUACAAAAUCCCCCUACAACAAAAGACUUCCAAGUCCCAAAUGGUGCUUAUUUCUUUAAAAAAAUGUAAUAAUUGAUAAAACUUUAGUUAAAACCAUUUGAACAGUUCUUAGAGAUUCAGAAGCAACAGAGAAGUCCUUCACUGAACCAUACAAUAGCAAUCAGAAUAAAGAAUAAUUAUACUGCGUCCACUGCCAUGAAUUACUCAGCAAUGGGUCCCGAUGUACCCACAGCUGGUAAAGGCCUUGGAGUGUCCUCACAGAGGGUAUCGAGCUAGAUGUUUUCCUAUACCUAUCAGGGUGGAGAAGUAAACUAAGGUCACAGUCAUGAGCCUUGCUACCCACUCUUUCUCACCCACUUUAUAUGCUCCCUCUAGAAAAACAAAAUGAACAAUACUUAUCUAAAAGCCAAUUUCUGCUUCAAACAAAGUUCUUGGUAGGAGAGAGAGAAGAGUAGUUUUGCAGCAGACCUAGAGCCUGAUGACCUAUAUUUUAGCUGCCAGCAGCUAAACCUUUAGUCACAUGGCCACUUCAGAGGAUCAGAGAAUUCUGUGUGCAGCAGUCAGGGAAGAAAAGUGCUUUUCACAGUCACUUCACAAAUAAGUCUUGCUUUUCUUGAGAUGAGCAAGCCAUUACUCACCAGGGAGCUCAGUGUGCCAUUAGUAAGGCGGUUAUGAGGGUACAUGUUUUGGGAUAUCUACAUUUAUUUGUCUGCAUCUAAAUAGUCAUAUGUGCCUUUUGGUCUAACAAGAAGUAAGUUGGAUAAGGAGUAAACAUCCUGUUUAUGAAGACAUAAAAUCUUUUUUAAGUCUCUAUUUAGUGAGUUAUCUAUAAUGACUGAAAUCUAUGAAAUCAUGUAUAAUACAUGAUGUUUACCUUUUUUUUUUUUUUUGGUGCUGAGGAUUGAACCCAGGGCCGUGCAUGCAAGGCAAGCACUCUACCAACUGAGCUAUAUCUCCAGCCCUGAUGUUUACUUUUAAUAACAGAACAGUGAAGAGAAACACCAAGGAAAUAGGAAAUUAUAAUAAUGUUGUACGUACUGCAACAGAGGUAAUUUAUAAGGUACUUCAGGAGGACAGAAGUAGGCUACCUAACCCAGUCUUGAAAAAUCAGGAAGAAAUUUUAGAGGAAAUGAGAUCUACGUUGAAGACUAAAUUCAGAAUAAGAUUGAUCUACCAAGAAUGCUUGGAGGAAAAGGGAAGAUUGUUUUUGGCAUUUACAAAAGACAUGAAGUGAUAGAGGAAUGGGCCAUUGUAAAGACUGAAGGUGAAACAGUCAAGAUCCAACUUUGAGUUAAGGAAAGAGAUGAGGAGAGAGGCAGCUUGCGCAAGAGAAGCAAUUGCUGGAUGCAUCACAAUACUGGACCUCAAAUUAUACUACAGAGCUACAGUACCAAGAACUGUAUAAUAUUGGCACCAAAACAGACAUUAAGACCCAUGGAAUAUCUCCCCUGGGAGGCAAAGUCCAAGAACAGACCAAAUUGAAGACCAUCCACAUUGUCACAGUAACUCACGAUGGUUCAGAGGACAUGAUUUAGGCAUCAGGUUAUUUGGUUUUAUGUUUGUUUGUUGUUUUUCGAUAUACAGUGACUUCCACUUACAUGGACUGGCUAGAGAUGGAGUGGUGGUGAGCUGAUCAACCAGUCUAAGAAUUAUCACAUGCAACAGAGAGGGAGAAUGAUUUUCAAAGAAUCACUAAUGAAAUAAAAUUAUUUCAAAACUAAAAAAAAAAAAAA